rnacentral:SRP_RNA from 1 species
CGGGAAGCCCUGCUCAAGGCGGUGCCGUGAACCAUGUCAGGCGGGGAACCGAGCAGCAUUAAGCGGAUUUCCGACUGUGAGCAGGUAACCUGCCCCGUA